AGUCCAGUACCAAGCCUGCAGCCGGGGGCACAGCACCCCUGCCUCCUUGGAAGUCCCCUUCCAGCUCCCAGCCUCUGCCCCAGGUUCCGGCUCCGGCUCAGAGCCAGACACAGUUCCAUGUUCAGCCCCAGCCCCAGCCCAAGCCUCAGGUCCAACUCCAUGUCCAGUCCCAGACCCAGCCUGUGUCUUUGGCUAACACCCAGCCCCGAGGGCCCCCAGCCUCAUCUCCGGCUCCAGCCCCUAAGUUUUCUCCAGUGACUCCUAAGUUUACUCCUGUGGCUUCCAAGUUCAGUCCUGGAGCCCCAGGUGGAUCUGGGUCACAACCAAAUCAAAAAUUGGGGCACCCCGAAGCUCUUUCUGCUGGCACAGGCUCCCCUCAACCUCCCAGCUUCACCUAUGCCCAGCAGAGGGAGAAGCCCCGAGUGCAGGAGAAGCAGCACCCCGUGCCCCCACCGGCUCAGAACCAAAACCAGGGGCUGCUCAGCAGCAGGCAGGCCGGGUGCGCUCCCCUGGGGCCCCAGGGCCCCUGACUCUGAAGGAGGUGGAGGAGCUGGAGCAGCUGACCCAGCAGCUAAUGCAGGACAUGGAGCAUCCUCAGAGGCAGAAUGUGGCUGUCAACGAACUCUGCGGCC
rnacentral:lncRNA from 10 species